rnacentral:rRNA from 1 species
AACGAACGCUGGCGGCAUGCCUAACACAUGCAAGUCGAACGAGACCUUCGGGUCUAGUGGCGCACGGGUGCGUAACGCGUGGGAAUCUACCCUCAGGUUCGGAAUAACUCAGAGAAAUUUGAGCUAAUACCGGAUGAUGACGUAAGUCCAAAGAUUUAUCGCCUGAGGAUGAGCCCGCUUAGGAUUAGGUAGUUGGUGAGGUAAAGGCUCACCAAGCCGACGAUCCUUAGCUGGUCUGAGAGGAUGAUCAGCCACACUGGGACUGAGGCACGGCCCAGACUCCUACGGGAGGCAGCAGUGGGGAAUAUUGGACAAUGGGCGAAAGCCUGAUCCAGCAAUGCCGCGUGAGUGAUGAAGGCCUUAGGGUUGUAAAGCUCUUUUACCCGGGAUGAUAAUGACAGUACCGGGAGAAUAAGCUCCGGCUAACUCCGUG